GCCGCAGCGCAGGGCGGGGGCAGAGGGGCUGGAGGGAGGAGGGUGCUGGUCCCAGGUCCCUACCAGGUGCCCGUAGACGUCGGCAGGCUGGAGGUAGAAGGUGGAGUUGAGCAGCUCUUCCAGCCUGCGCGGAACGUCGUUCUCCCGGUAGUACUCCAUCGCCUGCUGCUUCAGCUUCUGCAGCUCCUUAGUGGUCCCACAGCUGCGGCCGCCGCCUUCUUCCCCCAUGAUGAAAACAUCUGAGACUCAGGGCUAAGCACCUUGCCCAAGGCCACACAACAAGUAGGUGAUGGAGAGUGUUGGCGUGUACGGAUUCUGUGGGUGUAAAGCAAAGAACAAAAUGAAGUGUGAUUCAAAGUGGGAAAUAACCGCUUCAGCCUCUCCACAAAUGCAGUGAACAUGCUCUCUUUAUUUUCAUUCAAGCCAGUAAUAAAAAUGUUCACCAGGACUUUGCUAAGGAUAGAGGCUUGAAGUCCUGAAUUCGGACCCUAUCUCUGAGAUCAUUGAACUGCAGCCUCUGAAUAAUGGUAUCCAGCCAGCCCCCAAGCCAUCCAGUGGUCCCUGCACGCAACCCAACGGUUCUGAUAUUAUACCAAACCCAUAUGUCAACCCCACUGAACGUUUCAGAUGCCCUGCUGAAUUCAUAAACCUUUGACCUUCCUCAUCUCUGCCAGUCUCACAAUCCUACCAAAGAAGGAAACAAGAUUUAUCUGAAAGGGCUUUUUCUCUGUGAACCCACAGUGGGCCCUGGUGAUUCCUGCUUUCUAUAUGUUCAUAAACCACAAAUCCCCCUUAACAAGCCAUUCUUGAAUUAUUUUCUUCAAACUCACUAGCCAGUUCAUCUCUUAUUCUAAGAGAAUUAACCUCAGAUGAAGAAACUGAGGGUCACAGAGCUGAAGGUCAGACUAGAACCAAAGCUUAUGAUGGUGUAUCCAGCGCCUCCCCCACCGAGGGUGGAGAAAGACAGCUCACAUGUGGACAAAGACAUGAGCAGCUGUGAGUUUGGGAAGGAAUUCCGUUAUCCCUGCCCUCAGACAAACCUAAGUGUGCUACUCACUCUACCCACAGUGAAGUGCGGUGCCGUGAAGGAGGAAGACAACCAGGAGAACAUGGAGUCCUGGAAGGCACAGGAAGGAGGUAUUUCCAUGUCCACUGUGUCGAGUGGUGCUGACUGGCCACAUCUGAGGACUGAGGAUCAAUGGGUACUCGUGGCUUUGUGGCCACACUAGGGGCAGGAGUGACAGGCAGGUGGCCCUCCUGAGCCCCUCCCACAGGCCUGUCUGACUCACACCUCCAUCCUGAUCCCUGCAGUGGCAAAAUGAGUCUCUUUCUGUUUGAUAUCCUCAUGUCAACAAGCACCUUGCUGUCUAGGGUGUUUGUCAAAGUGCAGAAACUAUUGUCUCUUGUUUUUCCUUGAUUUUUUUAUAUUUUGCUGAUCAAUACAACCUAUUUGUACCAAUUAAAA